GUUGUAUGGUUAAGUGACUAAGCGUACAUGGUGGAUGCCUUGGCAGUCAGAGGCGAUGAAGGACGUACUAACCUGCGAUAAGCUGUGAGAAGUCGGUAAGAGACGCUAUUACUCACAGAUUUCCGAAUGGGGAAACCCACCCGAGAUAACUCGGGUAUCUGUUACUGAAUACAUAGGUAACAGAGGCGAACCGGGAGAACUGAAACAUCUAAGUACCCCGAGGAAAAGAAAUCAACCGAGAUUCCCUCAGUAGCGGCGAGCGAACGGGGAUUAGCCCUUAAGCAUCUUGGAAGUUAGUGGAACGGUCCUGGAAAGGCCGGCGAUACAGGGUGAUAGCCCCGUACACGAAAACAACCUUGAUGUGAAAUCGAGUAGGGCGGGACACGUGACAUCCUGUCUGAAUAUGGGGGGACCAUCCUCCAAGGCUAAAUACUCCUGACUGACCGAUAGUGAACCAGUACCGUGAGGGAAAGGCGAAAAGAACCCCUGUGAGGGGAGUGAAAUAGAACCUGAAACCGUGUACGUACAAGCAGUGGGAGCCCUUCGGGGUGACUGCGUACCUUUUGUAUAAUGGGUCAGCGACUUACAUUUUGUAGCGAGGUUAACCGUAUAGGGGAGCCGUAGGGAAACCGAGUCUUAACUGGGCGUCUAGUUGCAAGGUGUAGACCCGAAACCGGGUGAUCUAGCCAUGGGCAGGUUGAAGGUUGAGUAACAUCAACUGGAGGACCGAACCCACUAACGUUGCAAAGUUAGGGGAUGACCUGUGGCUGGGGGUGAAAGGCCAAUCAAACUCGGAGAUAGCUGGUUCUCCCCGAAAGCUAUUUAGGUAGCGCCUCGGACGAAUACUACUGGGGGUAGAGCACUGUUUGGGCUAGGGGGUCAUCCCGACUUACCAACCCCAUGCAAACUCCGAAUACCAGUAAGUAAUAUCCGGGAGACACACGGCGGGUGCUAACGUCCGUCGUGAAGAGGGAAACAACCCAGACCGCCGGCUAAGGUCCCAAAGUUCUGGUUAAGUGGGAAACGAUGUGGGAAGGCUCAGACAGCUAGGAUGUUGGCUUAGAAGCAGCCAUCAUUUAAAGAAAGCGUAAUAGCUCACUAGUCGAGUCGGCCUGCGCGGAAGAUGUAACGGGGCUCAAACCAGGCACCGAAGCCGCGGAUUCACACUUAUGUGUGAGUGGUAGGGGAGCGUUCUGUAAGUCUGCGAAGGUGUAUCGAGAGGUAUGCUGGAGAUAUCAGAAGUGCGAAUGCUGACGUAAGUAACGAUAAAGGGGGUGAAAAGCCUCCUCGCCGGAAGACCAAGGGUUCCUGUCCAACGUUAAUCGGGGCAGGGUGAGUCGACCCCUAAGGCGAGGCCGAAAGGCGUAGUCGAUGGGAAGCAGGUUAAUAUUCCUGCACGACUUGUAAUUGCGAUGGGGGGACGGAGAAGGCUAGGUGGGCCAGGCGACGGUUGUCCUGGUGAAAGUGCGUAGGUGGUGUUUCUAGGCAAAUCCGGAGACACAACACUGAGACACGAGACGAACACACUACGGUGUGGAAGCCAUUGAUGCCCUGCUUCCAGGAAAAGCCUCUAAGCUUCAGAUUACAAGUCAUCGUACCCCAAACCGACACAGGUGGUCGGGUAGAGAAUACCAAGGCGCUUGAGAGAACUCGGGUGAAGGAACUAGGCAAAAUAGAACCGUAACUUCGGGAGAAGGUUCGCUCUUGACAGUGAAGUCCCUUGCGGAUGGAGCAGUUGGGAGUCGCAGUGACCAGAUGGCUGGGACUGUUUAUCAAAAACACAGCACUCUGCAAACACGAAAGUGGACGUAUAGGGUGUGACACCUGCCCGGUGCCGGAAGGUUAAUUGAUGGGGUUAGCGCAAGCGAAGCUCUUGAUCGAAGCCCCGGUAAACGGCGGCCGUAACUAUAACGGUCCUAAGGUAGCGAAAUUCCUUGUCGGGUAAGUUCCGACCUGCACGAAUGGUGUAACCAUGGCCAUGCUGUCUCCACCCGAGACUCAGUGAAAUCGAAUUCGCCGUGAAGAUGCGGUGUACCCGCGGCUAGACGGAAAGACCCCGUGAACCUUUACUACAGCUUGGCACUGAACAUUGAACCUACAUGUGUAGGAUAGGUGGGAGGCUUUGAAGGCGUGACGCCAGUUGCGCUGGAGCCGUCCUUGAAAUACCACCCUUGUAUGUUUGAUGUUCUAACGCAGGGCCCUGAAUCGGGCUCGCGGACAGUGCCUGGUGGGUAGUUUGACUGGGGCGGUCUCCUCCCAAAGAGUAACGGAGGAGCACGAAGGUUGGCUAAUCCUGGUCGGACAUCAGGAGGUUAGUGCAAUGGCAUAAGCCAGCUUAACUGCGAGACGGACAGGUCGAGCAGGUACGAAAGUAGGUCAUAGUGAUCCGGUGGUUCUGAAUGGAAGGGCCAUCGCUCAACGGAUAAAAGGUACUCCGGGGAUAACAGGCUGAUACCGCCCAAGAGUUCAUAUCGACGGCGGUGUUUGGCACCUCGAUGUCGGCUCAUCACAUCCUGGGGCUGAAGUCGGUCCCAAGGGUAUGGCUGUUCGCCAUUUAAAGUGGUACGCGAGCUGGGUUCAGAACGUCGUGAGACAGUUCGGUCCCUAUCUGCCGUGGGCGUUGGAUGAUUGAAGGGAGUUGCUCCUAGUACGAGAGGACCGGAGUGAACGAACCUCUGGUGUUCGGGUUGUCACGCCAGUGGCACUGCCCGGUAGCUAAGUUCGGAAUCGAUAACCGCUGAAAGCAUCUAAGCGGGAAGCGAGCCCUGAGAUGAGUCAUCCCUGACCCCUUGAGGGUCCUAAAGGGCCGUUGGAGACCACAACGUUGAUAGG
rnacentral:rRNA from 1 species